rnacentral:rRNA from 1 species
GGGGGAUAUUGCGCAAUGGGGGAAACCCUGACGCAGCAACGCCGCGUGAAGGAUGAAGGUUUUCGGAUUGUAAACUUCUUUUAUUUAGGACGAAGAAUGACGGUACUAAAUGAAUAAGCUCCGGCUAACUACGUGCCAGCAGCCGCGGUAAUACGUAGGGAGCAAGCGUUAUCCGGAUUUACUGGGUGUAAAGGGUGCGUAGGUGGCAGAUCAAGUCUGGAGUAAAAGGUAUGGGCUCAACCCAUGCACUGCAUUUGAAACUAUUGAGCUUGAGUGAAGUAGAGGUAGGCGGAAUUCCCUGUGUAGCGGUGAAAUGCGUAGAGAUAGGGAGGAACACCAGUGGCGAAGGCGGCCUACUGGGCUUUAACUGACGCUGAGGCACGAAAGCGUGGGUAGCAAACAGGAUUAGAUACCCUGGUAGUCCACGCUGUAAACGAUGAUUACUAGGUGUGGGGGGUCUGACCCCUUCCGUGCCGGAGUUAACACAAUAAGUAAUCCACCUGGGGAGUACGACCGCAAGGUUGAAACUCAAAGGAAUUGACGGGGGCCCGCACAAGCAGUGGAGUAUGUGGUUUAAUUCGAAGCAACGCGAAGAACCUUACCAGGUCUUGACAUCGAGUGACGAAUCUAGAGAUAGAUUUUUCCUUCGGGACACAAAGACAGGUGGUGCAUGGUUGUCGUCAGCUCGUGUCGUGAGAUGUUGGGUUAAGUCCCGCAACGAGCGCAACCCUUGCUAUUAGUUGCUACGCAAGAGCACUCUAAUAGGACUGCCGGUGAUAAACCGGAGGAAGGUGGGGAUGACGUCAAAUCAUCAUGCCCCUUAUGGCCUGGGCUACACACGUACUACAAUGGAUGUAAACAGAGGGAAGCAAAAUAGCGAUAUGGAGCAAACCCCUAAAAGCAUUCUCAGUUCAGAUUGCAGGCUGCAAUUCGCCUGUAUGAAGUUGGAAUUGCUAGUAAUCGCGGAUCAGCAUGCCGCGGUGAAUACGUUCCCG